GAUGAACGCUGGCGGCGUGCCUAAUACAUGCAAGUCGAGCGAACGGACGAGAAGCUUGCUUCUCUAAUGUUAGCGGCGGACGGGUGAGUAACACGUGGAUAACCUACCUAUAAGACUGGGAUAACUUCGGGAAACCGUAGCUAAUACCGGAUAAUAUUUUGAACCGCAUGGUUCAAAAGUGAAAGACGGUCUUGCUGUCACUUAUAGAUGGAUCCGCGCUGCAUUAGCUAGUUGGUAAGGUAACGGCUUACCAAGGCAACGAUGCAUAGCCGACCUGAGAGGGUGAUCGGCCACACUGGAACUGAAACACGGUCCAGACUCCUACGGGAGGCAGCAGUAGGGAAUCUUCCGCAAUGGGCGAAAGCCUGACGGAGCAACGCCGCGUGAGUGAUGAAGGUCUUCGGAUCGUAAAACUCUGUUAUUAGGGAAGAACAUAUGUGUAAGUAACUGUGCACAUCUUGACGGUACCUAAUCAGAAAGCCACGGCUAACUACGUG
rnacentral:rRNA from 1 species